UAGCCUAGUGGAUAAGGCUAUGGAUCGCCAAUCCGAAGACGGCGGGUUCGAUUCCCGU
rnacentral:tRNA from 1 species